UUUUCUGUUUGUAUUUUGGUUA
rnacentral:miRNA from 1 species